rnacentral:rRNA from 1 species
AGCUGUUGGUGAGGUAGUGGCCACCAGGCGACGACGGGUAGCCGGCCGAGAGGGCGACCGGCCACACUGGGACUGAGACACGGCCCAACUCCUACGGGAGGCAGCAGUGGGGAAUAUUUGCACAAUGGGCGAAAGCCUGAUGCAGCGACGCCGCGUGAGGGAUGACGGCCUUCGGGUUUGUAAACCUCUUUCAGCAGGGAAGAAGCGAAAGUUGACGGUACCUGCAGAAGAAGCGCCGGCUAACUACGUGCCAGCAGCCGCGGUAAUACGUAGGGCGCAAGCGUUGUCCGGAAUUAUUUGGCGUAAAGAGCUCGUAGGCGGCCUGUCGCCGUUCGGUUUUGUAAAAGCCCGGGGCUUAACCCCCGGGUUCUGCAGUCGAUACGGGCAGGCUAGAGUGU